GCCAACAGAUAGCUCAGCUGGUAGAGCACAAGACUCGUACUCUCAGGGUUGGGGGUUUGAGCCCCAUGUUGGGCA